GCCUGACGAAGGCUUGGGCUCCCCGCGCGGUGACCGUCGAGGUGACCUGCACCUGGCUCCAUGGCGGAACCGGCCGGCACGGAUUAUUCCCCUCUCGGGAGAGGUCUGCAGCCGGGCCUCAGUGCUUCAGUUCGUGGCCUGGCAUUUUGUGUCAGUGUUUUUUAACCUUUGGACCCUAGUUCAACCGACUCCGAGACCUAGGGGACAGAUCUUAAGUUUUACAAUAACCCAGGGGUCAGACAGGGUCUGAUCUAGCCUGUGGGGCAAGUACGGGGAAGACACGGGACCUCUUGGAGGGGGUCAGUAGGCUUGUAGGGGGAAAGACGCACACAGAGACUAAAGGACGAGAUGGAGCAAGGUUCAACCCCCUAGCUGAGUGUUGGCAGUGUCGGGAUUUUAACGAAGACAUUGGUGCUUAUUAUGGUGAGGGGACUCAGGACAGUUUAGGGGAAGAGAGUGGCAUUUGAGUCCUAACUCGUAAGGAAGACUGGGUAGGACUACUUGAAAAUAACUUUUAAAAAUUAAUUAUAAAGCUGGUAAAAAUAGGAAAACAUCUAUGGCCCCACUGUCCAAAGACGACUUUUAACUUCUUGGAGAAUAUCCUUUCAGAUAGUUGUCUUUGUAAAUGUAUACUUUUAAUGUUUUUUCGUUUGCCUUUUUAAAAUAAAUUUUUUGGGGGACAGGGUCUUGCUCUGUUACCCAGGCUGUAGUGCAGUAGAACGAUUAUAGCUCAUUGCAACCCGGACGUCCUGGGUUCAAGCUAUCCUCACCUCUCAGCCUCUCGACUGGCUAGGACCACAGCCUCGAGCCAUCAUGUCUGGCUAAUUUUUACGUUUUUUUGUAGAGAUGGGGGUCUCGCUGUGUUGUCCAGGCUGGUCUUAAACUCCUUGCUUCAACAGAUCCUCCCACUCCAGCCUCCCAAAAUGUGAUUACAGGCUGAGUCACCACGCCUAGCAUGGUUUUUUUUGUUUUGUUUGUUUUGUAAGCAAAAUUGACAUACAUACUGGAGGUACAAUUCUGUAGCUGGCCUUCUUUACAGAGUUUAGAAUAAAUGUCUUUCCAUGUCAAGUUUUCACUUACAUCCUUUGUAGUAGUUGCAAAAUAUUCCAUUUUAUAGCUGUAUCUUAAUUGUGGAUUAAGGUUGGAGUGCAGUGGCACUAUCAUGGCUUAGUCCAGCCUCAGCCUUCUAGGUUCAAGCGAUCUUCCCACCUCAGCCUCCCAAGAAGCUGGGACUACAGGGACCCGCCACCCCACCUAGCUAAUUAAAAAAAAAAUUGUAGAGAUGGAGUCUCAGUGUGUAGCCCAGUCUCAAGUGACCCUCCCUCGUUGGCUUCCCAAAGCGCUGAGAUUGCAGGAAGAGUGUCUUCAUCUCUGCAUCCCUAGUGCAACAGAGCAUGACAAAAAUUCAACAAAUAUUUAUUGAAGAGUCUUGAUGUCUUUUGGGAAAGGAACUCUAUGGUUACCUUUACUCUAAGUUAAAAACAACAACAACAACAACAAAAACACAAAACCCUGAGGCUCAGAAGAUAAAUAUUUGCUGAAGAUCACUGUGCUUAUUAGAUGGGUGUUACUGAUUCUUACCUCAGAGAAGAGAAUGUCAUGGAGACAAAAUGACCUGCUUAGAGUUCUGCACCCCCCAGCAUGGAGAGCAGAGCGCAAAGAUUUCUUCCGGACUCCCACAUUCCCCUUGGAAUCCAAGAACUGGUCUACUGUCACAACACUUUAGUACCCUCUUGUAAGCCUGUGGACAAAUCCUCUGAUGCCUUGAUACCUCGGUUUUCCCCCACUAUAAAUGGGAAGAUAAAUUCACUAGAAACAGUA
ensembl:lncRNA LAMTOR5-AS1 LAMTOR5 and SLC16A4 antisense RNA 1